AGCACCCCCACUCUCCGCACCCUCCUAUGUCACAUGAAAAAGCGAAGUCGGUCGCCUGGGUGGUUCAGUGGGUCGAGCGUCUGCCUUCCGCUCAGGUCACUAUCUCAGGGUUCUGGGAUCCAGCCGGGCAUCCGGCUCCCUGCACAGCGUAGAACCUGCUUCUUCCUCUGCCCUCUGCCCUGGCUUUCUCUCUCUCUUGCUCUCUCUCUCUCUCUCGCAAAAAAAUAAAAUCUAAAAAAAAAAAAAAAAAGACGAAGAAGAAGAAAAGAAACGAAAAAGCAAAGUCAAGUCAGCAAAGGCUUCCUGACAGAGCCCAGCUUGGGGGCGUGGGUGCUGUUACAGGAUUGGGCGUGGGGUGGGGUGGAAAGGUGUCAAACUGAAGCACUGAGGAGCAGAGACCAACCUAUCAGAGGCUGCCCAGCACGGCGUGGGGGGGGGUGGGGAACCUGUCGUUUGGGUGAUUUUACCAACUCCUGCAGGGGCCUCAGCUGUGGGCCCAGACAGGGGACUGUGGCAUGGAGGAGGAGCAAGUGUGAAGGUGGAGACACCAUCCUCAGCUGCCUUGCACUGCCCAACGGAUGCCAGGAGUUGUGCCCACAACUGAGAUUCAGGGAACCCUCCCUCCAGCCUGGGAGGGGUGUCCCUUCCUCGUUCCUCAGAACACUGCCCUUCAGCUUGGAUCAUUCUAGCCCUCACCUCCUCAAGUCUUCUGAGUGUGACCUGUGUAAAGCCCUUCUGGCGUGACAGCAGCCUGGUCCCCUCCAAUGGCUCACCUGCCCACUCACCAGCAGUGCCCUUCAGAGUGAGUCAUGUCCACCCACCCAGAUGCCUGCCUCCUACCUUUUAUAGUGCAAGGUCCCUUCAAGGCUACUCUGAACCCAUCUUGCAUUUCACUGGGAUCUGGACUCUGCCCUCUUUUAAGAACGUUCCAAAUGUCCAUCAACAGGGAUGGAUUACACAAACCAAAGUAGACCCUACGAUGGAAUACUCCUCAGCAAUAAAAAGCAACAAACUGCCA
rnacentral:lncRNA from 12 species